UAUUUUGACAAACUGCCUGCGGGAACUUGUGACGUCACAGCUCGCUAAUGUUGGCCCGAGUUCCUAGUUCUUGUCUGAAAAGAACUGAACGCCUUGCGGUGCCGAUCGAUUGAAGUGAUCGAUCAGGAGCAUCGUGUGUGCGCACGUCAAAGGUCAAAAAGAAAAGAAAAAGGUGGACAUCAGUGAGGUGCGAGUGCAAAACCCGCUCAUAGAAAACAAAUCUGAGAAUGAGGCGCCAGGCGUGGAAGUGGUCCCACCAGGACGCCCGUUGGUGGUGACGCAGCCCUCGUCGGAGGACGCCACCACGGACGUUCCCGAGGAGAACAAGGACGAUCCGAGCGAUCGACUCCUCACGGUAAACGGCAACUACGUGAUGCAGGAGAACGGGAAAGCCGAAGUCCUCUCCUGCCAGGAGUCCCAAAACGGGACUUUGAUGAGCGAAAUGUCUUUGUCGCCAUGACGACCACGUCAUUUAGGACCGUGACGCCGAUAAUUGAAGGCAAUUUUUGUCAUCUGAGUUAAGUUAAAGUACCCAUGAUUGUCACACACACACCAGGUGUGGCAAAUUCACCCUUGAUCACCCCCUCCCUGGGAGGUGAGGGGAGCAGUGAGCAGCAGCGGUGGCCGCGCCCGGGAAUGUUUUUUGGUGAUUCAACCCCCAAUUCCAACCCUUGAUGCUGAGUGUCAAGCAGGGAGGUAACGGGUCCCAUUUUUAUAGUCUUUGGUUGAUGUGAGAAAGUGAUGGCUAAUGCUAAUGCUAAAGCUAACUUGCUUGGUUUACUCGUCCUCACCAACAAGGUACAUGUACACUAUUCUAUUCUACUUGUAAAAAGUCAGUUUUGUUUGCUAAAAUACUUGACUAGG